AGGGAAGUGACCUCCGGGAGGGGAGAAUUUCUUACUGCAGGUUGAAUGCUUGUCUAGAGGGAAAUGAGGAAAAGAGCGGAAGAAAAUGAAAGGGUCAAGUUUUAAAAUUUUUUUUUGCACAGGAUGGAAGUGAGCAGAAGAGAUGAAGCCGAGCUCUUCGUCAGCCCCAGAGUCUCGGGAAGCCCCUGAAACCUUCACUCUCCCCGCCAGCCUCAGCUGCCAGAGGGGCAUCUUUCAUCUCGGGGAUCCUUCCAGCGACGCCUUUGGCACGUUCACUGCUGCCGCCGUACCCCGCUCGGCCGUGAGCUACAGCUGCCCCCUGCCAUGGGGGUCCCCGUGGGAACGGGCGCGCCGGGGGGCCCCGGGCCAGGAUUUCGGCUGGGAGAGAGAGAGAGAGCCCGUGCUCCGUGCGAGGGGUCCGCGCCAUGGGCAGCACUCCGGCCGUCUCGCCAAGCCGUGCCCCCAGCACUGGGCAGCGCCAGCGACUGCUUUGACGCAAGGGUUUUUCCCUAAAUCGUGUAGAAAUAAAAUAAAAACAAUAAAAGUA